rnacentral:piRNA from 1 species
UUUUCGAUCUUUUUUUCAGCA